UACGUAUGGGGCAAGCGUUGUCCGGAUUCAUUGGGCGUAAAGAGCGUGUAGGCGGCCAGGUAGGUCGGUUGUGAAAACUGGAGGCUCAACCUUCAGAGGUCGACCGAAACCAUCUGGCUAGAGUCCGGGAGAGGAGAGUGGAAUUCCUGGUGUAGCGGUGAAAUGCGCAGAUAUCAGGAAGAACACCCGUGGCGAAGGCGGCUCUCUGGGACGGUACUGACGCUGAGACGCGAAAGCGUGGGGAGCGAACAGG
rnacentral:rRNA from 1 species